AUGACCCCUGCAAUAAAACAAGUUUUCACCAGGUCGCUACACAAGUUUUGUCGAUGGCAUAUAACAAACAAGUACACCUCGCAUAUUUCAUACUUGUACAACUUGCACCCCACUUUGAAGGUUGAGUUUCAGGCAAUCAUAAAUUGGCCCCUGAUGCCAACUGAAUUUGAGACAGCUUGGCACCAGCUAGUUGAUAAAUACAAGCUUCAUGAUGAUCACAUGAUUCUGCACAUGUGGGCAGACAGGAAGGAAUGGAUAUCGACUUACUUCAAAGAGGUUUUCUCUGCAAGGAUGACUUCGACUCAACAAAGUGAAAGUAUGAACUACAUACUCAAGAAAGGAUUUGUCAAGCAGGACCAAAACGUGCACCGAUUUGCUGAGCAAGUAAACAACAACAUAUUUUCAAGGAGGCAAGUUGAAAAUGCACAGACAUUGGCAUCAAUGACAGAACCAAACACAAGAACUCAUUCCGGUUUUGAGAAGCAGUUCAGUGAGCACUAUACAAAAGCCGUAUUCACCGAGUUCAGGAGGAAACUCAAAAAUAGCACACUCUUCUGCAUAAAAACAAGCCAGGAUCCUAUAGUUGACAAACAUAAUUAUCUUGUGACCUACCAUGAGCCAACGGAUACGUUCUCAUGGUCAAACCAUGAGUUCAGAGUUGUUGCGAACACUGAGACCGAGGAAUACAGCUGUGAGUGCAUGUUGUUUGAGCAUACAGGUCUAUUCUGCGUGCACAUAAUUGCAAUGCUCGAGCACCUGAGAGUGAAGAGUGUACCUGAUAUCUACAUCCUAAAGAGGUACACUACGAGAGCGAAGGAAAGGGAAACAUUUGAUAGGAGAGACUACAAGACUGAAUCAUUUGACGGGUCUUCGUUCCUGCAUCUACAAAAUGAACAGGAGGCAAGUCAGACGACCAGCACGUAA
rnacentral:rRNA from 1 species